CGAGUUUGAUCCUGGCUCAGAACGAACGCUGGCGGCGUGGUUUAGGCAUGCAAGUCGAACGAGGUCCAUUACUUCGGUAAGAAGACCUAGUGGCGAACGGGUGAGUAAUACAUCGAUCAUCUACCCUUGGGACGGGGACAACAGCGGGAAACUGCUGCUAAUACCCGAUAAUCCGGCAACGGUAAACGGUGGGGACCUUCGGGCCUGCCACCCAGGGAGGAGUCGAUGGCCUAUCAGCUUGUUGGUGGGGUAACGGCCUACCAAGGCGAAGACGGGUAGCCGAAUUUAGCGAUUGAUCGGCCACACUGGGACUGAGACACUGCCCAGACCCCUACGGGAGGCUGCAGUCGAGAAUCUUCCGCAAUGGGCGAAAGCCUGACGGAGCGACGCCGCGUGCAGGAUGAAGGCCUUCGGGUUGUAAACUGCUGUCAGGUGUUAGGAACCAACGUGGGUUAACACCCCGCGUCCUGACAAAAGCACCAAGGAAGCCACGGCUAACUUCGUGCCAGCAGCCGCGGUAAGACGAAGGUGGCAAGCGUUGUUCGGAAUCACUGGGCAUAAAGCGCGCGUAGGUGGCUUGGCAAGCGGGGGAUGAAAUCCCAUGGCUCACCCAUGGAACUGUCUCCCGAACUGCUUCGCUUGAGGUCGGGAGGGGAGAGUGGAAUUCCUGGUGUAGCGGUGAAAUGCGUAGAUAUCAGGAGGAACGCCGGUGGCGAAAGCGACUCUCUGGCCCGAUCCUGACACUGAGGCGCGAAAGCUAGGGGAGCAAACAGGAUUAGAUACCCUGGUAGUCCUAGCUGUAAACGAUGGGCACUGGGUUGAGGGGGUGUCAAUACCUACUCAGCCGUAGCUAAUGUGUUAAGUGCCCCGCCUGGGGAGUACGGUCGCAAGGCUAAAACUCAAAGGAAUUGACGGGGGCUCACACAAGCGGUGGAGCAUGUGGUUUAAUUCGAAUCAACGCGAAGAACCUUACCCGGGUUUGAAAUCUACGGAUGCGGCCUGUGAAAGCAGGUUAGUUGCCUUUCGGGGUGAAACGUAGACAGGUGUUGCAUGGCUGUCGUCAGCUCGUGUCGUGAGAUGUCGGGUUAAGUCCCUCAACGAGCGAAACCCUUGUCUCUAGUUGCCAGCGGUUCGGCCGGGGACUCCAGAGAGACUGCCGUUGUGAAAACGGAGGAAGGUGGGGAUGACGUCAAGUCAUCAUGGCCUUUAUGUCCGGGGCUACACACGUGCUACAAUGGCCGGUACAAAGGGAAGCAAGACUGCAAGGUGGAGCAAAUCCCACAAAGCCGGCCCCAGUUCGGAUUGGAGGCUGCAACUCGCCUCCAUGAAGGUGGAAUCGCUAGUAAUCGCGGAUCAGCUACGCCGCGGUGAAUAUGUUCCUGGGCCUUGUACACACCGCCCGUCAAGCCACGAGAGCCGGCAGUGCCCGAAGUCCCGUACCUAACCGCAAGGAAGGAAGGGCCGACGGUAAGGCCGGUGAUUGGGACUAAGUCGUAACAAGGUA
rnacentral:rRNA from 1 species